GUAGUUAGUUACCAGCACGUAAUGGUGGGGACUCUAGCUAGACUGCCUACGCAAGUAGUGAGGAAGGUGGGGACGACGUCAAGUCAUCAUGGCCCUUACGGCCUGGGCUACACACGUGCUACAAUGGUCGGUACAGAGGGUUGCCAAGCCGCGAGGUGGAGCUAAUCCCAGAAAACCGAUCGUAGUCCGGAUCGCAGUCUGCAACUCGACUGCGUGAAGUCGGAAUCGCUAGUAAUCGUGAAUCAGAAUGUCGCGGUGAAUACGUUCCCGGGCCUUGUACACACCGCCCGUCAAGCCAUGGAAGCUGGGGGUGCCUGAAGUCGGUAACCGCAAGGAGCUGCCUAGGGUAAAACUAGUGACUGGGGCUAAGUCGUAACAAGGUAGCCGUACCGG
rnacentral:rRNA from 1 species